CUCCACCGAACACAACACACACCAGUACUAGUCCACCAAGAACAGGGCACACGCACAUGUCUUCUCUCCCUCCUAUUCAUCUGCUCCUAACCUAGCCAGAUCGGCCACGCCGCCAGAGAUGGGAACAUGCUGCUCCGCCACUACCAGACCUCUCUCCCUCUCUUCCCUGAUCCAAAUCCCUAAUCUCUAAUCCCCACUCAAAUUUGACUUGCAGGUUAGGUUCUUGUUGUGUUGUGAUUCAUCCGCUCCAGAUUGAAGCCGCCGGCAUUGGUGUCCGCGGUGCCGCUGGGUGUUGCAGAUCAGAGUUCAAAGGCAUGACCAUGGAGCAGAUCAAGCAUAAGUGCGGAUAGAAAGAUGAAGACAGUGGGAGGAAGACAAGCUGCUGGUUUGGCUAUUUGGGGAAGAAUGGAGAUGUGUGAAGUGUUGGCAAUGGCUUGCUCUGCUCUCUCUUCUUUUAAUAUCAGAAAACCAUCUUCCUUGGCUGGUUUGCUGAAAAUUUGGUGUUGUGGAUUAUUAUUGGUUGAUUUCUGCCCAUUGCCUCUACUGCAAUCUUGCCUCCAGUGUUUCGCAGAAAAGGAAUAUCAAACGGAAUCCAAACAGAAUGAAACCUUCGGGAGGGUUAUUUUUGGAACAAACGUGAUUCAGGAGACUUGGAGUGGACGUCAAGAAAGAAGCGAAGAGGCCAUGAGGCAAGAGGGCACACCCAGGGGGGUUAGCGCACCCCCCAUCCUAGUGGGCCCCUCGCAGCUCCACCGACGUACUUCUUCCUCCUAUAUAUACCCAUAUACCCUGAAAACAUCCAGGAGCACCGUGAAACCCUAUUUCCACCGCCGCAACCUUCUGUACCCAUGAGAUCCCAUCUUGGGGCGUUUUCCGGCGCUCCGCCGGAAUGGGAAUCGAUCAUGAAGGGCUUCUACAUCAACACCAUAGUCUCUCCGAUGAUGUGUGAGUAGUUUACCA